UACAUACUCCCUCCGUUCGGAAUUACUCGUCUAAGAAAUGAAUGUAUCUAGAUGUAUUUUAGUUGUAGAUACAUCCAUUUUUGUGACAAGUAAUUCCGAAUGGAGGGAGUACUAC
rnacentral:pre_miRNA from 1 species